rnacentral:lncRNA from 10 species
AGGAAACUUUAAAUGUUACAUGUUUCUGCUGCUUGGAUUUUUUUAAGUGAGAAUGUAUUAAUUUGUCAUUAAAAUCGUAAGUUCAGGUCAUCCAGGCAGGGCCAGGCCAGCAUCCAUGUUCCACCUGGCUGACCACCCCAUUCCACCUUUGUGGAGUUCUUAGGAUCCUGGGUCAUUUUCCAUCUGGCUGCUGCCCAAGACCAUUUCGGGGCAUACUUGGGUAGCAAGGACCCUCACUUUGGAGGCUUAUCUUUUGUAAAUUUAGUUCCUGAACCUUCUUACCUUCACCUCACACCAAUCUCUAUUGCCCUCACCUUGGAGCCUGAGGUCUAGAGAGAGGUCAUAGAAUUCUUUAAUUGUUGCCCUGGGAGGAACAUUCUCUAUUGUCUUGCCCUGAGGGAUUGCAAUACAAGCCAGCAAUCUUUUAGGAAUCGGAACCCUAGAUACUGGACAACCUGGAAGAACUAGAGGUGGCUAAAGAAGGGAAGGGAGAAGGAAGGGUAUUGGAAAGUCCACACCUGACUGGAUGUUUUCAGCUCUCAGGGUCUGGAAGAUAUUUGAAGAUGACUAUCUCAUGGGCACUCUCACAGGCUUUACGAAGGUUGUCUGCAUUGGGAACCUCCACUGAAGAUCCCAGUAAGUCGGCAAUGCAUCAACUUUGGGGACCACUCCCCACCAGGCUCCCACCACUGCCAUUCGUUUGCUCUGAUUCUGGCUACUGGAGUCAUGCCAUUCUCCAGGAGUUCCUGCGGAUCGAGAGCAGAAUUUAACAUUAGCCUGGAAAUCUCACACCAGAGAGUAAAGAAAUGCUCAAAGACCACAUAGUCAUGUCAAACGGACAUGAGACUUCUCGAGUUUUUGCUGGCCUCAUUUAGACAAUCUGUGCAUCAAACUAAUAAUGAAUAUGAUUGAUUAGAACAUAUUGACUGUUUUUGUUUGUUUGAGAGUCUCCCUCUGUUGCCAAGGCUGGAGUACAGUGGAGCGAUCUUGGCUCACUGCAACCUCCGCUUCCCGGGUCCAAGUGAUUCUCCUGCAUCAGCCUCCAGAGUAGCUGGACUACAGACAUGCACCACCACGCCCGGCUAAUUUUCUGUGUUUUUAGUAGAGACAGCGUUUUCCCAUAUUGGCCAGGCUGGUCUUGAACUCCUGAUCUCAAGUGAUCCACGCCUCAGCCUCCCAAAGUGGUGGGAUUACAGGUGUGUGAGCCACCGUGCCUGGCCCUGAUUAGAACAUUUCGAAUCAAUAAAUAUUCAUUAAUGAAUAAAUAGAAAACAAUGAGAAUGCGGGGGGAAAAGCAGCUCUUCUUUACUGAAAAACGUCAUCUGAUAAAUACACAGGCGUAGAAUUAGAAAAUUACCAUUUUGAACCUUCAGUGUAUCAACUGAUUCAGGUAAGGGUCUUCUAUAGGUGAUAAAAGUAUUAGAUGAAAAAUUAUUGGGGGACUGGAUAUCUGUAUGAUGUCAAAGCACUACUCUUUUAAAAAAGAUAUCUUUGACCAGGUGCAGAAGCUCGUGCUUGUAAUCCCAGAAGCUUGGGAGGCUGAUGUGGGAGGAUUAUAUUUGUAAUUUUGUACGCUAAAAACCUUUUUUUUUUUUUUAAAGACCAAGUCUUGCUCUGUUGCCCAGGCUGGAGUGCCAUGGUGUGAUCUCGGCUCACUGCAACCUCUGCCUCCUGGGUUCAAGCAAUUCUGCUGCCUCAGCCUCCCUAGUAUCUGGGAUUACAGGCAUGCACCACCACGUCCGGC